UGUUGACAUAAGUCCCGUGUGUAGGGAUUUAAUCCCCUAUAAUGCUGUAAGUUGUGAGGGUACACUUCGUCCACUCCAUUUUACAGAUGAAGUAACUGAGGCACACAAAGCUUCGGAAUGUGCCCAAAGUCACCAAGCUAGGGAGGGCUGGGGUCAGGAUUCAAGCUUAAGUCCAUCCACUUCAGGAGCCUACGCUUUUAGCCACAAAGACUGCUUAUGUCCUGUCCAACUCUAAUUUUCUGGGCCUUAAAUAUUGAGAUACCAAGAGAAAACCUAUAAAGGAGUCUCAAGUGUAUCUGGUGAAGCUGAGUCCUUCACCUUCUUUCCUUUGUCCUCCAGCAUGAUUCCUAUGCUUACGACUACAGAGCAUCAAGCCAGUUUUCAAGUUUAUUGUGUGU
rnacentral:lncRNA from 1 species